CGAACGCUGGCGGCGUGCCUACUACAUGCAAGUCGACCGAACCGCGACUAGGUGCUUGCACUUGGUCAAGGUGAGUGGCGAACGGGUGAGUAACACGUGGGUAACCUACCUCAUAGUGGGGGAUAACAGUCGGAAACGACUGCUAAUACCGCAUAGGACAUAGGAUCACAUGAUCCAGUGAGGAAAGGUGGCGCAAGCUAUCGCUAAGAGAUGGACCCGCGGUGCAUUAGCUAGUUGGUAGGGUAAAGGCCUACCAAGGCGAUGAUGCAUAGCCGACCUGAGAGGGUGAUCGGCCACAUUGGGACUGAGACACGGCCCAAACUCCUACGGGAGGCAGCAGUGGGGAAUCUUCCGCAAUGGACGCAAGUCUGACGGAGCAACGCCGCGUGAGUGAAGAAGGUCUUCGGAUCGUAAAGCUCUGUUGUUAGAGAAGAACAGCGCAUAGAGUAACUGUUAUGCGUGUGACGGUAUCUAACCAGAAAGCCACGGCUAACUACGUG
rnacentral:rRNA from 1 species